AGGGAAUCUUCGGCAAUGGACGAAAGUCUGACCGAGCAACGCCGCGUGAGUGAAGAAGGCCUUCGGGUCGUAAAACUCUGUUGCCAGAGAAGAAGAGCAGCCAGUUAACUGCUGGUUGUGUGACGGUAUCUGAGAAGAAAGCCCCGGCUAACUACGUGCCAGCAGCCGCGGUAAUACGUAGGGGGCAAGCGUUGUCCGGAAUUAUUGGGCGUAAAGCGCGCGCAGGCGGUUGGGUAAGUCCGAUGUAUAACCUUGUGGCUCAACCAUAAGUGGCAUUGGAAACUGCCGGACUUGAGUGCAGGAGAGGAAAGCGGAAUUCCACGUGUAGCGGUGAAAUGCGUAGAGAUGUGGAGGAACACCAGUGGCGAAGGCGGCUUUCUGGCCUGUAACUGACGCUGAGGCGCGAAAGCGUGGGGAGCAAAC
rnacentral:rRNA from 1 species